AUUGAACGCUGGCGGCAGGCUUAACACAUGCAAGUCGAGCGAGCGGCGGACGGGUGAGUAAUGUCUGGGAAACUGCCUGAUGGAGGGGGAUAACUACUGGAAACGGUAGCUAAUUCCGCAUACCAUCAGAUGUGCCCAGAUGGGAUUGGCUGGUAGGUGGGGUAACGGCCCACCUAGGCGCCGAUCCCUAGCUGGUCUGAGGGGAUGACCAGCCACACUGGAACUGAGGCACGGUCCAGCCUCCUACGGUAGGCAGCGGUGGGGAAUAUUGCACAAUGGGCGCAAGCCUGAUGCAGCCAUGCAGCGUGUGUGAAGAAGGCCUUCGGGUUGUAAAGCACUUUCAGCGGGGAGGCGUUACCCGCAGAAGAAGCACCGGCUAACUCCGUGCCAGCAGCCGCGGUAAUAC
rnacentral:rRNA from 1 species